rnacentral:ncRNA from 2 species
AUCGGAGUAGGAUGCAAAGCGUUAAGUGCCGCCGGAACGGAAUGUGAACGGUGGACGAAAAGUGUUGAUUGAACUGCUUAGCUGAAAUGAUAGGCUAAACGCAUCAAUUGAUGACUUGCGGUUUUGCGUUCGCAUUCGCCGCA